UCAGGCGAAGUCAUUAAUCCUAUGCUGCCUAGAAAAGCCCAGUAGCGAGUUGACAUGGUGCCCGUACCCCAAACCAACACAGGUGGACAGGUAGAGCAUACCAAGGCGAGUGGGAUAACUAUGGUUAAGGAACUCGGCAAAUUUCCUCCGUAACUUCGGGAUAAGGAGGACCCCAGUAGCGUGACGAGACUUGCUCUCCGAGCGUGAAGGGGUGGCACAAAAUUGAGGGAAGCGACUGUUUACCAAAAACACAGCAGCGUGCUAAGCCGUAAGGCGCUGUAUACGCUGUGACUCCUGCCCGGUGCUGGAAGGUUACGGGGAUGGGUUAGUCCUUCGGGACGAAGCUCUGAACCUAAGCCCCAGUAAACGGCGGCCGUAACUAUAACGGUCCUAAGGUAGCGAAAUUCCUUGUCGGGUAAGUUCCGACCUGCACGAAUGGAGUAACGACUUCCCUACUGUCUCAACCAUAGACCCAGCGAAAUUGAAGUACGAGUAAAGAUGCUCGUUAGCUGCAGAAGGACGGAAAGACCCCGUGGACCUUUACUAUAACUUGAUGUUGUGUUUUGUCAUAUGUUGUGUAGGAUAGGUGGGAGACAAGGAAGCAUGGACGCUAGUCUUUUGGAGUCAUCGUUGAAAUACCACCCUGCAUAUGGUGAGGCUCUAACCUAGACCCGUUAUCCGGGUUGGGGACAGCGUCAGGCGGGUAGUUUAACUGGGGCGGUUGCCUCCUAAAGAGUAACGGAGGCGCCCAAAGGUUCCCUCAGCCUGGUUGGCAAUCAGGCGUCGAGUGCAAUGGCAAAAGGGAGCUUGACUGCGAGACCUACAAGUCGAGCAGGAGCGAAAGCUGGGCAUAGUGAUCCGGCGGUUGCGUGCGGAAGCGCCGUCGCUCAACGGAUAAAAGGUACCCCGGGGAUAACAGGCUAAUCUUGCCCAAGCGUCCAUAGCGACGGCAAGGUUUGGCACCUCGAUGUCGGCUCAUCGCAUCCUGGGGCUGAAGCAGGUCCCAAGGGUUGGGCUGUUCGCCCAUUAAAGCGGUACGCGAGCUGGGUUCAGAACGUCGUGAGACAGUUCGGUCCCUAUCCUCUGUAGCCGUAGGUGAAUUGAGGAAAGCUGUCCCUAGUACGAGAGGACCGGGACGGACGCAGCUCUCGUGUGCCAGUUGUCCUGCCAAGGGCAUGGCUGGUUAGCGACCUGCGGAAAGGAUAACCGCUGAAAGCAUCUAAGCGGGAAGCCUCUUCCGAGAUGAAUUCACCCACAGGGUUAACCUGGUAAGGCCCGUGGUAGACCACCACGUUGAUAGGCCGGAAGUGUAAGCGUGGCAACACGUUCAGCUGACCGGUACUAAUCGGCCGAGGGCUUGAAUUC
rnacentral:rRNA from 1 species